UUGCUUUUUGAUUGGUUAGCGGCGGACGGGUGAGUAACACGUGGGUAACCUGCCCUAUAGACCGGGAUAACUCGCGGAAACGCGUGCUAAUACCGGAUAACACCCCGAAGCGCAUGCUUCGGGGUUGAAAGAUGGUUCUGCUAUCACUAUAGGAUGGGCCCGCGGCGCAUUAGCUGGUUGGUGGGGUAACGGCCUACCAAGGCGACGAUGCGUAGCCGACCUGAGAGGGUGAUCGGCCACACUGGGACUGAGACACGGCCCAGACUCCUACGGGAGGCAGCAGUAGGGAAUCUUCCACAAUGGGCGAAAGCCUGACGGAGCGACGCCGCGUGAGCGAAGAAGGCCUUCGGGUCGUAAAGCUCUGUUGUGAGGGACGAAGGAGCGCCGUUUGAAUAAGGCGGUGCGGUGACGGUACCUCACGAGAAAGCCCCGGCUAAAUAUAUGUGCCACCAGCCGCGGUAAUACGUAGGGGGCGAGCGUUUUCCGGAAUUAUUGGGCGUAAAGCGCGCGCAGGCGGUCCUUUAAGUCUGAUGUGAAAGCCCACGGCUCAACCCGUGGAGGGUCAUUGGAAACUGGGGGACUUGAGUGCAGGAGAGGAGAGCGGAAUUCCACGUGUAGCGGUGAAAUGCGUAGAGAUGUGGGAGGAACACCAGUGGCGAAGGCGGCUCUCUGGCCUGUAACUGACGCUGAGGCGCGAAAGCGUGGGGAGCAAACAGGAUUAGAUACCCUGGUAGUCCACGCCGUAAACGAUGAGUGCUAAGUGUUAGAGGGGUCACACCCUUUAGUGCUGUAGCUAACGCGAUAAGCACUCCGCCUGGGGAGUACGGCCGCAAGGCUGAAACUCAAAGGAAUUGACGGGGGCCCGCACAAGCGGUGGAGCAUGUGGUUUAAUUCGAA
rnacentral:rRNA from 1 species